GAGGAUGUACCAGGAGCUCUGGAAAGGUGGCACGACGCGGGCAUAAAGGUAUACAUAUAUUCAAGCGGCAGUAGGUUAGCACAGAGGCUUCUAUUUGGAAAUACAAAAUAUGGGGAUCUAAGAAAAUAUUUGUCUGGAUAUUUCGAUACCGCAGUGGGGAACAAAAGAGAAAUGCGCAGUUAUGUUGAAAUCAGAGAGUCUGUUGGAGUUGAUAAGCCAUCAGAAAUUUUGUUUGUCACUGAUGUUUUCCAGGAAGCUGUAGCUGCAAAAGCAGCAGGACUGGAUGUGAAUAUAUCCAUACGACCCGGAAAC
rnacentral:misc_RNA from 1 species